rnacentral:misc_RNA from 1 species
GAUGAAGAACGUAGCGAAAUGCGAUACUUGGUGUGAAUUGCAGAAUCCCGUGAACCAUCGAGUCUUUGAACGCAAGUUGCGCCCGAAGCCACUAGGCCGAGGGCACGCCUGCCUGGGCGUCACACGCCGUUGCCCCCCCAUCUACUCCUUCGGGAUUGCGGGGGGGCGGAUGAUGGCCUCCCGUGCGCCUAGCCGCGCGGUUGGCAUAAAUACCAAGUCCUCGGCGACGCACGCCACGACAAUCGGUGGUUGCGAAACCUCGGUUGCCCGUCGUGUGCGUUCGUCGCGCAUCGAGGGCUCGAAAAAAUGCUCGGCUCCGGCUGGGCUUUCAACGCGACCCCAGGUCAGGCGGGGUUACCCGCUGAAUUUAAGCAUAUCAAUAAGCGAGGA